GCUUGCUUCUCUUGAGAGCGGCGGACGGGUGAGUAAUGCCUAGGAAUCUGCCUGGUAGUGGGGGAUAACGUUCGGAAACGGACGCUAAUACCGCAUACGUCCUACGGGAGAAAGCAGGGGACCUUCGGGCCUUGCGCUAUCAGAUGAGCCUAGGUCGGAUUAGCUAGUUGGUGGGGUAAUGGCUCACCAAGGCGACGAUCCGUAACUGGUCUGAGAGGAUGAUCAGUCACACUGGAACUGAGACACGGUCCAGACUCCUACGGGAGGCAGCAGUGGGGAAUAUUGGACAAUGGGCGAAAGCCUGAUCCAGCCAUGCCGCGUGUGUGAAGAAGGUCUUCGGAUUGUAAAGCACUUUAAGUUGGGAGGAAGGGUUGUAGAUUAAUACUCUGCAAUUUUGACGUUACCGACAGAAUAAGCACCGGCUAACUCUGUGCCAGCAGCCGCGGUAAUACAGAGGGUGCAAGCGUUAAUCGGAAUUACUGGGCGUAAAGCGCGCGUAGGUGGUUUGUUAAGUUGGAUGUGAAAUCCCCGGGCUCAACCUGGGAACUGCAUUCAAAACUGACUGACUAGAGUAUGGUAGAGGGUGGUGGAAUUUCCUGUGUAGCGGUGAAAUGCGUAGAUAUAGGAAGGAACACCAGUGGCGAAGGCGACCACCUGGACUAAUACUGACACUGAGGUGCGAAAGCGUGGGGAGCAAACAGGAUUAGAUACCCUGGUAGUCCACGCCGUAAACGAUGUCAACUAGCCGUUGGAAGCCUUGAGCUUUUAGUG
rnacentral:rRNA from 1 species